UUGUUGUUUGGCAAAUAAUUAUGUCCAAAUUUGUUUGGAAUUUAAUUUUUUUAAACUUGAUGUUCUUUUUUAAGAGUAUGGCAACGCCGCCAUAAUUGUCUUUUCUCUUUUUUGACACUAUGUUAUAAUUAUGUAUAUUUGUGUUAUUUUGAGAUUCAUCUAUGUUAAAAAUUUCACUUAAGACACAGACGUCUAUAUUGAAUUUGUUCAAAUAAAAUUCAAGAUAAUGCUUGUUCUUAUUAAGACUUUGUAUAUUAUGUUGUAAAAUAUUCAUGGAUCUAUGUUUGUUUUAGUUUUUUGGGAAGAACUAGAUGUUGGAAGUUGACUGUUUUCAUAUUGAUUUACUAUCUUUUUUGUAUUUUUUUCAGUACGAGUUAACAAUGUUUUCCUGAAGUUUUCUAGGAUAUCCAAGCCUUCCGCGCAAUUCAAUGAGCUCCGAAACUUUGGAAGAUGAUGAAUACUCAUACACAGGUACUGAAGGCGUAAUAUUUAUCGGACUAGCAACGGGAUGAUUCGACUUUAUACGAGGAGCCGCUACUUUGCUGUAUUUUAUUUUCGUAAUCCUUUUGUUGAUUUCUUCAUUAAAAUUAAUUUUUGGUUGA
rnacentral:sRNA from 1 species